AGUCGAGCGCCCCGCAAGGGGAGCGGCAGACGGGAGAGUAACACGUGGGAACGUACCCUUCAGUUCGGAACAACCCAGGGAAACUUGGGCUAAUACCGGAUACGUCCGUAAGGAGAAAGAUUUAUCGCUGAAGGAUCGGCCCGCGUCUGAUUAGCUAGUUGGUGAGGUAACGGCUCACCAAGGCGACGAUCAGUAGCUGGUCUGAGAGGAUGAUCAGCCUCAUUGGGACUGAGACACGGCCCAAACUCCUACGGGAGGCAGCAGUGGGGAAUAUUGGACAAUGGGCGCAAGCCUGAUCCAGCCAUGCCGCGUGGGUGAUGAAGGCCCUAGGGUUGUAAAGCCCUUUCGGCGGGGAAGAUAAUGACGGUACCCGCAGAAGAAGCCCCGGCUAACUUCGUGCCAGCAGCCGCGGUAAUACGAAGGGGGCUAGCGUUGCUCGGAAUCACUGGGCGUAAAGCGCACGUAGGCGGCUUUUUAAGUCAGGGGUGAAAUCCUGGAGCUCAACUCCAGAACUGCCUUUGAUACUGAAGAGCUUGAGUCCGGGAGAGGUGAGUGGAACUGCGAGUGUAGAGGUGAAAUUCGUAGAUAUUCGCAAGAACACCAGUGGCGAAGGCGGCUCACUGGCCCGGUACUGACGCUGAGGUGCGAAAGCGUGGGGAGCAAACAGGAUUAGAUACCCUGGUAGUCCACGCCGUAAACGAUGGAUGCUAGCCGUUGGUGGGUUUACUCAUCAGUGGCGCAGCUAACGCAUUAAGCAUCCCGCCUGGGGAGUACGGUCGCAAGAUUAAAACUCAAAGGAAUUGA
rnacentral:rRNA from 1 species